CGGCGUUUUGAAUGGCGAUUUCUCGUUUACACCGAGAGGGUCGGCGGUUCGAGCCCGUCAGCGCCCACCA
rnacentral:tRNA from 2 species